GGGGUUGUGGCUUAGCGGUAGAGCACUCACCUAGCACAUGUGUGGACCUGGGUUCAAUCCUCAGCACCACA
rnacentral:tRNA from 1 species